GCAUCGAUGAAGAACGCAGCGAAAUGCGAUAAGUAAUGUGAAUUGCAGAAUUCAGUGAAUCAUCGAAUCUUUGAACGCACCUUGCGCUCCUUGGUAUUCCGAGGAGCAUGCCUGUUUGAGUGUCAUGAAACCCUCAAACCCAAGUUUUGGAUUUCGAUCCAUGCUUGAGUUUGGAUUUGGAUGUUUGCCGGUGAUGAACCGACUCAUCUUAAAAGUAUUAGCUUGGAUCUGUCUAUAUGACUGGUUUGACUUGGCAUAAUAAGUAUUUUGCUGAGGACAUCUUCGGAUGGCCAGGACCUAGACUACUGUCUGCUAACUAAACCAUCACUUUAAGUGCAUCUUUGGAUGUUACUCAUUGUGUAACUUUGACAUCUGGCCUCAAAUCAAGUAGGACUACCCGCUGAACUUAAGCAUAUCAAUAAGCGGAGGA
rnacentral:rRNA from 1 species